GCCCGCCUAGCUCAAUCGGAUAGAGCGUCAGACUCUUAAGGCGGGGGGGGAUCAUCUGCUGGUGAUCUGAAGGCUGCGAGUUCGACCCUCGCGGUGGGCU